rnacentral:snoRNA from 1 species
GGGGAAGUUCAGCCUAAAAAAUCAAAACAAAUGCAUGGCUCAGAGUAUCAUAGAAUUAAAGUACAUCAUAGAAAAAUCAAA